CGGCCUUUCCCACCGCCAUCGAGGAAGGAAAGUCGUCCCGCUUCAGGGCCCCUGCCGGGGUGUGCAAGUUGCACUGAAAAACGCAGAACCUUCCACUUCAUGGAUACCCCCUGCAAGGACAUUUUCACAAACAAACGAAACCGUUCCCCAAAGCCUCGGUGAAGUCUCCUCCCCAGAGACGAUCCUGUAGCAGCAAAACUCAGUUUAUUAAAACAGGUAUGAUGAUAAAACUUACAUCUGCUUGGGCAAGGCCAGUGUAUUUUUGUACAAACAAGAUAAUGCUGCGUAAUGACAGUUAGUGCUCUGAAAGCACCACAUACAAAGCAAAGUAUCUUUAUCCAAAAAAACAAAACAAAA